GAUAAUUGGCUUGUGCCAGCCAAGCCUUCACAGUGAUGUUUUGCUUUUUUAUCCUUCGAUGUCGGCUCUUCCUAUCAUUGUGAAAUAGAAUUCACUGAGUAUUGAAUUGUUCUCCCACCAAUAGCGAACAUGGUUUGGGUUUAGGCCAUCGUGAGACAGGUU
rnacentral:rRNA from 1 species